UUAUUUUCAGGUUUUCAGCAUAGCGGUAAGACAAUCACAUACUUGACAAAGUGUGCCCCCUAAUAUUUCCAGUACCCACCUGGCACCAUACAUAGUUCUUACAAUAUUAUU